rnacentral:rRNA from 1 species
AGUGAACGCUGGCGGUAGGCCUAACACAUGCAAGUCGAACGGCAGCACAGUGAGAGCUUGCUCUGACGGGUGGCGAGUGACGGAUGGGUGAGGGAUACAUCGGAAUCUAGUUUUUCGUGGGGGUUAACGUAGGGGAACUUACGCUAAUACCGCAGACGAUCUACCGGUGAAAGCAGGUGAUCCUUGGACCUUUCGCGAAUGCAUGAGCCGUUGUCGGUUUAGCUAGGUGGCGUGGUAAAGGCACACCAAGGCCAGGAUCCGUAGCUGGCCUGAGAGGAUGGUCAGCCACCCUGGAAGUGAGACAGGCCCCAGACUCCUAGGGUGGGCAGCAGUGGGGAAUAUUGGACAAUGGAGGCAAGCGUAAUCCAGCCAUACCGCGUAGGUUAAGAAGGCCUUCGGGUUGUAAAGUCCUGUUGUUGGGAAAGAAGAGCAGCAGGUUAAUAACCCGCUGUUGUGACGGUACCCAAAGAAUAAGCACCGGCUAACUUCGUG